AGUGAACGCUGGCGGUAGGCCUAACACAUGCAAGUCGAACGGCAGCACAGUAGGAGCUUGCUCUUACGGGUGGCGAGUGGCGGACGGGUGAGGAAUACAUCGGAAUCUACUUUUUCGUGGGGGAUAACGUAGGGAAACUUAUGCUAAUACCGCAUACGACCUACGGGUGAAAGCAGGGGAUCUUCGGACCUUGCGCGAUUGAAUGAGCCGAUGUCGGAUUAGCUAGUUGGCGGGGUAAAGGCCCACCAAGGCGACGAUCCGUAGCUGGUCUGAGAGGAUGAUCAGCCACACUGGAACUGAGACACGGUCCAGACUCCUACGGGAGGCAGCAGUGGGGAAUAUUGGACAAUGGGCGCAAGCCUGAUCCAGCCAUACCGCGUGGGUGAAGAAGGCCUUCGGGUUGUAAAGCCCUUUUGUUGGGAAAGAAAAGCAGCAGGUUAAUACCCCGCUGUUCUGACGGUACCCAAAGAAUAAGCACCGGCUAACUUCGUG
rnacentral:rRNA from 1 species